AUUGAACGCUGGCGGAAUGUUUUACACAUGCAAGUCGAACGGCAGCACGGGGCAACCUGGUGGCGAGUGGCGAACGGGUGAGUAAUAUAUCGGAACGUGCCCAAUCGUGGGGGAUAACGUAGCGAAAGUUACGCUAAUACCGCAUACGAUCUACGGAUGAAAGCGGGGGAUCGCAAGACCUCGCGCGAAUGGAGCGGCCGAUAUCAGAUUAGGUAGUUGGUGGGGUAAAGGCUCACCAAGCCAACGAUCUGUAGCUGGUCUGAGAGGACGACCAGCCACACUGGAACUGAGACACGGUCCAGACUCCUACGGGAGGCAGCAGUGGGGAAUUUUGGACAAUGGGCGCAAGCCUGAUCCAGCCAUUCCGCGUGCAGGAUGAAGGCCUUCGGGUUGUAACUGCUUUGUACGGUAACGAAACGGUACGUGCCCUAAUACGGUAGGGCGUAAUGACGGUACCGUAAGAAUAAGCACCGGCUAACUACGUGCCAGCAGCCGCGGUAA
rnacentral:rRNA from 1 species